AUAAUACAUUGUAUAGAUAGCAGAGACGUUAUUGACCCAUUUCAAUUCUACGCAAUACAGUAUGGUACUGUAGUGUAGUGUCGGUCACUGUGGCUCGAAGUUUUACAUUUGUACUGUAUUAAUAUUUAUUAAUUAUAUAAUAUAAAAAUGCGGUACUGGUAGCUGUAAGACAUCAUAUAAAGCUUCAAAUACUAGAUCUCUUUUAUAUACAGUUAUAUGUGUUUUAGAAAAUCCAGCCCGUGUUGUCUCUGUGUUUUGCCGGUACUAGUCGGUAAAUAGACGUGUUAUACGGGAUUCUUCCAAUCCCCAACGUGAAGGAUUUGCCAUAUCAAAAAUCGUAAAAAAAAUCUGUCAACGUACAAUUAUUUGGACUAUGCCGGUACCAGCUGUUCUUAUCCAUGCUGCUGGUGUACACGUUGACGUCAGCAAUUGCUUGUGCAUUUCGUGCUUUGUGGAGGUUCAGUAAACCCUUUCCUUUGCAAAACAAUGAUGACCACCAUGAAAGGGAAGAAUACCAUGAUACUAAACAACACAGUGCUAGAGAGAGCCUUCAAAGGAUAACACAAGAAAAGGCAGAAGAGUACCGGGAGCUGAUACUGGAACCGCUGGAAUAGGCAUGCCUGGAGAAACAAGAGAAACACCUGAGACAUGUGCUGGAGCCUUUGUUCUUCACAGGCAAGGGGGAGUUGCUUGGAGGGGACGAAAGACUAGAGACCAGUAGAGAUGACAAAAGUGUAAACAAAGAGGCCAGGAAAGUACGGUAAGACGGUUUCCAGCUCACGUACAAGAACACAUACCAGCACAGCCAACCAGGAGAAAGAGGGUAAUUGUGUUACCAGAGGACCAGAGGUGGGUGAGGAUGUCGUCAUGGUGACGGUGCAUACACUGCGGGAUGAAAGGCGAGCACGCAGGUUCCACCUAGAUACCACCAUGCAGGUGCUGUUUGACUACAUGACCACUCUGGGUUACAACCCCCAUAACUACACACUGGCCUGGUCGUAUCCAAGACAAACACUCCCUGACGAACCGGAUGUCACUCUAAGCCAGCUCCAGUUUGGUUGUCGCACCUUGCUGUUUGUUCAGGAGAGGGAGCUCAUGUGACAGUUAUGUGAUCAGUGAAACUGUCUGUACAUGAGCUCAUGUGACAGUCAUGUGAUCAGUGAAACUGUCUGUUCAGCAGAGGGAGCUCAUGUGACAGUCAUGUGAUCAGUGAAACUGUCUUUACUUGAGCUCAUGUGACAGUCAUGUGAUCAGUAAAAGUGUCUGUUCAGCAGAGGGAGCUCAUGUGACAGUCAUGUGAUCAGUGAAACUGUCUGUACAUGAGUUCAUGUGACAGUCAUGUGAUCAGUGAAAGUGUCUGUACAUGAGUUCAUGUGACAGUCAUGUGAUCAGUGAAACUGUCUGUACAUGAGUUCAUGUGACAGUCAUGUGAUCAGUGAAACUGUCUGUACAUGAGUUCAUGUGACAGUCAUGUGAUCAGUGAAACUGUCUGUACAUGAGUUCAUGUGACAGUCAUGUGAUCAGUGAAAGUGUCUGUACAGCGGAGGGAGCUCAUGCGACAGUCAUGUGAUCAGUGAAACUGUCUUUACUUGAGCUCAUGCACCAGCCACCCAAGUUUUUGAAAUAGUACCAGAGCACAUAGCAUGUAUAAUUUAAGUCACAUGGGUUGUUGGUGAAGUAACUGUUUUGUACCAUGUAGUCAUUACAAGUUUAUUUAUCCGCAUGCUAGUAAUCACAUGAUUAAGCUUCACCUACUUUUUACCAUUCAGAUAUGGGAGUUCAUGUAUAGGCGAAAACAAUGAAAAUACUUUCCAACAUGGUACAAUGAAAAUAAAUGACCUUCUCAUGUAAAUUUCUGCUGGUCUGAAUGUGUCAUGUUGUUGGAAUUUUAAGCAUAAAUCUAUAUGUCCUGUCUCUUGUAGCAUUUGCCUGCACAAACACUUUCUGUUGGGAACAAUGAUUCCUAUCUUGACUUUAGACCACACCAAAUUGAUGUUUCAUUUCUCAGAUUUACAACACCUAUUAUUAAGAAAAUGCAAAAACAAAAUUUACAAAAAAUCUUAAAAAGGACCAAAACCAGAUUUCUUGUGAAGUCAUGUUGCAUCUUACAAUGCAAGAACAUGUUAUUUGAUGUGUCUGUGACAACUUCUGGGAAACAACAAAAUUUAAAAAUGAUUACUUUGUGGCAUUAUUUUGUAAACUUACAUGAGAGAAUGAAGUUUUAAUGUUCAGAAUUAUCAUUCUAAAUAUUUAUUUUGUGGGAAAACAACAAAAUGAAUUUUGUUUUUGUUUUUAUGCCCCCAAAAGAGGGCAUCAUAAAAUUGAACUGUCUGUCCAACUGACACAUGAACUAGACAUUAUAAGGCUCAAUAGAACCAAAGAUCAUGCAGGUCUUUAAGAUAUCUUGAAUUGACUGGUUUUAUAUUCAUAUACAGAAGGUAACAUUGGUUUUUAUCGAGAAUUAAAGGAAUACACUAUGCAUCCAUAUUUACUCAGCAAAAAAAGUCAUGCGACUAGGUAUACGAGGUGCAGUCAAAAAGUUCCCGGACUGCCUUUGUACUUUUGACAUUUUUGGGAUUUGAAAAAAUAAAAUUACAUCAAAUUAAAGCUGAAACUAUAUUCUACAUGACUAAACAUAUAUUAACUUUUAAUCACACAUAAAACAAUCAUUUUUUACAUAGCAAAUAAACAUAACUCACUCUGUACGGAUCACUUCGUACGGAAAUGACGUACUGUUGACGUUCACUAAUGAAAUUACGUCAAUGUAGGCGCUUGUAUGCUAGUCAAUGUGUUUCAAAGCAUAUUGCCCUUGAAAUUCAAUACAUUUUCUGUGCCAAUCUACCCACUUAUUAAAAAUGUCUGCAUACCACCCCUUUUUGCAAUUGCUUACCGCCGACCUGACGCCACUUUUCAUUUCUUCUGCUGAUUCAAUUCUGCCACCUCGUAAGUUGGCCUUUAAUCUUGGAAAUACACAGUAGUCCAAAGGCGCUAGGUUGACACUUUAAGUCGGAUAAUGCAGUCUUUCAUACCCGAAAAAUCUAAUGUUAGUAGCGCGUCUUGAUGAAAGAUCAAAUUUCGCAGUACGGACGUUUAUUUCUCAAUGAUCGUGAGAUGUCUCUGCACGUCUCAAAUGUCACAAACAUAUGUUAACUCAAUGUGAACCCAAUUCAUAUCAUAAAAAAGCCUGGAAUCAAUUAUAAAUAAAUAAUUGUCAAGAUGUUGUGUAUAUUCCCAUGGCUAAAUCCGACACAUCAGCUAUUUCGUCGAUCGAUUUCCGCCGAUGUACCGAAAUGACACGCUGCAUUUUGUCAAAACUGCCACUAUCCUGUUCCAUUAUUGUCAGUUAUGUCAUCACCUGGAAAUGCUUGUGCCAAUCCAAUAUGAAUGUCCGGGAACAUUUAGGUAAACUAUCUACCAGAUUUAUAAAUUUCCAUGCAUCCUUUGGUGUCAUUCCUGCACUCGCAGAGUAGUUCAUGACUGUCCGUUGCUCUGUUCGCACGGAUGACGUUGACAUUUCUUCACCGGCGAUAUCUUCCAUUGCUUCAGACAAUGCAUACUAAUUCAAUAAUUUUUAAGUGAUGAUGUUUGUUUUGGACGUGUGUUUAGAAAUGACGUUAGUGAGACGUCAUGUAAAUUUACAUGAUAAAACGGCGCCAAAAUAUUGCAUAUGUAGCGUUUUUAAGAGUGAAAACAAUUUCGUAAUCGGUAAUAAUAUUCAAGGUGAUCCGUAGCGUAGGUUAUAUACUACAAUGAACAUAUUUUUCUAUCAAAAUAUGGAUGCUAUGUAAAUAAUUCUGCUUACAAAAUGUAAACAUGUUAGGAUUUAUGUGUGACAAGUAUCGUCAUAGUCAGACGUCAAAAGUGUGCAAUAUAUAACCAGUCCGGGAACUUUUUGACUGCACCUCAUAUAAGGGCAUAUAAUUUAGAAUGUAUUGGAAAAUAUUUUAAUGAAAUACAUAAUAUGAAAUAAUAAAUCGAGGACAAUCGUUUAUUACAAAUUUUAAUAAAGUUUAUGGCAGUGAACAAAUCAUUUUAUCGAUUUGAUCAGUAUAGGGGUCAGGGUGUAAAAGACACAGUACAGCUUGUUUCAGCAUAUAACCGUUUUGUAUGACCAACUACUGGAAUGAAAUAAACAGUCGCAAAAUCAACAAAAACAAUGUAAAAAAAUAAAAAGUAAAUAACAUAAACAGAACAUCACAUGACUACAAAGCCUUAUAUUAAUUUUUUCUUGCUAAUAAAGGCAUAUACUUUCUCUU